CAGCGUGUGGUGCCCUACAAUAUUGUCAUUCUCAGUUGCUUUCGGGAUUACGGAAAUAAACGAAGAAAUCGAAAGUUGUGAUAAAUUCUUAGGAAACAGCAAUCGGCAAACCUCGGCAGAUUCCGUUACCUAACUGUGCCGAUUUAGUGAUUGAUGGAUUAAUGCGAGUCAUCAUUAAUUCUAUAGAAAAACACAUUGACGAUGGAAAUUUG
rnacentral:lncRNA from 1 species